UACGGAAGGGGCAAGCGUUGUUCGGAAUCAUUGGGCGUAAAGGGCGCGUAGGUGGUUCUGUAUGUCUACCGUGAAAGCGUACGGCUCAACCGUAUUUUGUCGGUGGAAACUGCAGGACUUGAGGCUGGGAGGGGCUGGUGGAAUUCCCUGUGUAGCGGUGAAAUGCGUUGAUAUCCGCAGGAACUCCGGUGGCGAAGGCGGCGUGCUGGACCCCUUCUGACGCUGAGGCGCGAAAGCCAGGGGAGCGAACGGG
rnacentral:rRNA from 1 species